rnacentral:rRNA from 1 species
AUUGAACGCUGGCGGCAUGCUUUACACAUGCAAGUCGAACGGUAACAGGUUAAGCUGACGAGUGGCGAACGGGUGAGUAAUGCAUCGGAACGUGCCCGGUCGUGGGGGAUAACGCAGCGAAAGCUGCGCUAAUACCGCAUACGAUCUGAGGAUGAAAGCGGGGGACCGCAAGGCCUCACGCCAUAGGAGAGGCCGAUGGGAGAUUAGCUAGUUGGUAGGGUAAAGGCCUACCAAGGCGACGAUCUUUAGCGGGUCUGAGAGGACGAUCCGCCACACUGGGACUGAGACACGGCCCAGACUCCUACGGGAGGCAGCAGUGGGGAAUUUUGGACAAUGGGCGAAAGCCUGAUCCAGCAAUGCCGCGUGAGUGAAGAAGGCCUUCGGGUUGUAAAGCUCUUUUGUUUGGGAAGAAAUCCUAACGGAUAAUACCUGUUGGGGAUGACGGUACCAAAAGAAUAAGCACCGGCUAACUACGUGCCAGCAGCCGCCGUAAGAC